AUACGUAGGGGGCGAGCGUUGUCCGGAAUGAUUGGGCGUAAAGGGCGCGUAGGCGGCGCGGUAAGUCUGGAGUGAAAGUCCUGCUUUCAAGGUGGGAAUUGCUUUGGAUACUGCCGCGCUUGAGUGCAGGAGAGGUUAUCGGAAUUCCCGGUGUAGCGGUGAAAUGCGUAGAGAUCGGGAGGAACACCAGUGGCGAAGGCGGGUAACUGGACUGCAACUGACGCUGAGGCGCGAAAGUGUGGGGAGCAAACAGGAUUAGAUACCCUGGUAGUCCACACUGUAAACGAUGAAUGCUAGGUGUAGGAGGUAUCGACCCCUUCUGUGCCGCAGUAAACACAGUAAGCAUUCCGCCUGGGGAGUACGGUCGCAAGAUUAAAACUCAAAGGAAUUGACGGGG
rnacentral:rRNA from 1 species